rnacentral:rRNA from 1 species
UACGAAGGGGGCUAGCGUUGCUCGGAAUCACUGGGCGUAAAGGGUGCGUAGGCGGGUUUUUAAGUCAGGGGUGAAAUCCUGGAGCUCAACUCCAGAACUGCCUUUGAUACUGAAGAUCUUGAGUCCGGGAGAGGUGAGUGGAACUGCGAGUGUAGAGGUGAAAGUUCGUAGAUAUUCGCAAGAACACCAGUGGCGAAGGCGGCUCACUGGCCCGGUACUGACGCUGAGGCACGAAAGCGUGGGGAGCAAACAGG